CAGGAGAAAAACACAUGCAAAUCUCAUGGGUCACUAACGAUAAAUCCGCUCCUUCAAUUGUUGAAUAUGGAACCUCACCAGGGAUAUACACCUCUUCAGCUGAAGGAGACACCACCUCUUAUAGUUACCUAUUCUAUAGCUCAGGAAAGAUACACCACACUGUCAUUGGACCUCUGGAACAUGAUACUGUUUAUUUUUAUCGAUGCGGAGGACAAGGUCCUGAGUUUCAGCUCAAGACCCCUCCAGCUCAAUUUCCUGUUACUUUUGCUGUGGCUGGGGAUUUAGGUCAAACUGGCUGGACUAAAU
rnacentral:lncRNA from 1 species